rnacentral:rRNA from 1 species
CGAGGGAACGGUAGACAUAGAUCGGAUUCCUACGCGAGACACCUUUAAGGAAUAUUGGUCAACGACGAAGAUCGAACCAUCCUUCUGAUUAAGGACAAGGUCUUUUGAUUGUAGAGUUCCUAAUUGGGAGAAGCCCUGGAAUUUUAUGAGGUGAAGGUACCAGAGGAUAAGCCCGGCUGCUCCCUCCCACAGACGCGAUAAAUAUGAAGGGUGCGAGCGUUUUCCGGAUCAAUGGUUUAAAGGGUGCUCAGGUGGGUCUGUAAGUUCAGUGAGGAAAUCUCCGGUCUUAUCCUGGAAGCCGCCCACCAAUACUAUAUAUCUUUAAUUUUCCGGAGGUAAGCGGAAUAACUCAGUAGCGAUGAAAUGCUAAGAAUACCCCAUAAACACCAAUUUGAAGGCAGCUUGCAACAAGAAUAUUGACACAGAGGCUCGUAAGCGUGCGGCUCAAACAGGAUUAGAUACCCUGGUUGUCCGCGCCCUAAAUUAUGGGUGCUGGGCUUUUGUGAUACACAAUAAGUGUCUGAGCGAAAGCAUUAAGUAUCCCACCUGGGAAGUACGACCGCCAGGUUGAAACUCAAAGGAAUUGGUGGGGGUCCGCACAAGCGGUGGAGCAUGUGGUUUAAUUCGAUGAUACGCGAGGAACCUUACCUGGGCUAGAAUGCUGGGAAACCGUGGGUGAAAGAUCAUUUUGUAGCAACACACAGCCAGUAAGGUGCUGCAUGGCUGUCGUCAGCUCGUGCCGUGAGGUGUUGGGUUAAGUCCCACAACGAGCGCAACCCCUAUCCCUAGUUGCCAUCAGGUAAUGCUGGGAACUCUAGUGAAACUGCCGUCGUAAGACGCGAGGAAGGAGGGGAUGAUGUCAAGUCAUCAUGGCCUUUAUGCCCAGGGCUACACACGUGCUACAAAGGGAAGUCCAAAGGGUUGCCACCUGGGGACAGGGCGCUAAUCUCAAAAAACUUCUCUCAGUUCAGAUUGCAGGCUGCAACUCGCCUGCAUGAAGCUGGAAUCGCUAGUAAUGGUAGAUCAGCAACGCUACGGUGAAUACGUUCCCGGACCUUGCACACACCUCCCUUCAAGCCAUGGAAGCUGGGUGUACCUAAAGUCGAUAACCGCAAGGAGUCGCCUAGGGAAAAACUGAACGGCUGU